rnacentral:rRNA from 1 species
UGAGUUAGUGGAAGCUUUCGGGUUGAAGCUGACUUACCUAGUGGCGGACGGGUGAGUAACGCGAGAAUUACCUACCCUAGGGAGGGGGAUAACGCCUGGAAACGGGUGCUAAUACCCCAUAGGCCGGGAGGUUAAAGGGAGGAAUCUGCCCUAGGAUGGGUUCGCGUCCUAUCAGCUAGUUGGUGGGGUAAUGGCCUACCAAGGCGAAGACGGGUAGCCGGUCUGAGAGGAUGUACGGCCACACUGGAACUGAGACACGGUCCAGACUCCUACGGGAGGCAGCAGUGGGGAAUAUUGGGCAAUGGGCGCAAGCCUGACCCAGCGACGCCGCGUGAGGGAAGAAGGCCUUUGGGUCGUAAAGUUCUGUCCUUUGGGAAGAAUACUUUAGUUACUAAUACUAGCUAGAGUUGACGGUACCUUUGGAGGAAGCUCUGGCUAACUACGUGCCAGCAGCCGCGGUAAUACGUAGAGAGCAAGCGUUGUCCGGAAUCAUUGGGCGUAAAGGGUACGCAGGCGGUCUAUUAAGUCAGAGGUGAAAUCCAACAGCUCAACUGUUGAACUGCCUUUGAUACUGGUAGACUUGAGGAUAAGAGAAGAAAACGGAAUUCCUAGUGCAGCGGUGAAAUGCGUAGAUAUUAGGAAGAAUACCGAUGGCGAAAGCAGUUUUCUAACUUAUUCCUGACGCUCAGGUACGAAAGCUAGGGUAGCAAACGGGAUUAGAUACCCCGGUAGUCCUAGCCGUAAACGAUGGAUACUANGGGGGGUUGGGGGGUUCGACCCCCUCCGGUGCCGCAGUUAACGCAUUAAGUAUCCCGGCCUGGGGGAUUACGAACCGCNAGGUUGAAACU